rnacentral:rRNA from 1 species
GAAGAACCUUACCAGGCCUUGACAUCCCUCACUAGUCUCGGAAACGGGAUGUUCCCUUCGGGGAAGAGGAGACAGGUGGUGCAGGGUGGUGGUCACCUCGUGUGGGGGGAGGUUGGGUUAAGUCCCCCAACAAGCGCAACCCUUAUCUUUAUUUGCCAGCGAUAAAGAUGGGCACUCUAGGGAGACUGCCGGUGACAAACCGGAGGAAGGUGGGGAUGACGUCAAAUCAUCAUGCCCCUUAUGUCCUGGGCUACACACGUGCUACAAUGGCCGGUACAGAGGGAAGCGAAACCGCGAGGUGGAGCCAAUCCCAUAAAACCGGUCUCAGUUCGGAUCGCAGGUUGCAACUCGCCUCCG